rnacentral:rRNA from 1 species
ACGCACGCUGGCGGCGUGCUUCACACCUGCCAGUCGAACGGAAAGGCCCUGCUUUUGUGGGGUGCUCGAGUGGCGAACGGGUGAGUAACACGUGAGUAACCUGCCCUUGACUUUGGGAUAACUUCAGGAAACUGGGGCUAAUACCGGAUAGGAGCUCCUGCUGCAUGGUGGGGGUUGGAAAGUUUCGGCGGUUGGGGAUGGACUCGCGGCUUAUCAGCUUGUUGGUGGGGUAGUGGCUUACCAAGGCUUUGACGGGUAGCCGGCCUGAGAGGGUGACCGGCCACAUUGGGACUGAGAUACGGCCCAGACUCCUACGGGAGGCAGCAGUGGGGAAUAUUGCUCAAUGGGCGGAAGCCUGAUGCAGCAACGCCGCGUGCGGGAUGACGGCCUUCGGGUUGUAAACCGCUUUCGCCUGUGACGAAGCGUGAGUGACGGUAAUGGGUAAAGAAGCACCGGCUAACUACGUG